rnacentral:rRNA from 1 species
CAUAAUGAGAUCUGACGGAGCACGCCGCGUGAGUGAUGAAGGCUUUCGGGUCGUAAAACUCUGUUGUUAGGGAAGAACAAGUGCUAGUUGAAUAAGCUGGCACCUUGACGGUACCUAACCAGAAAGCCACGGCUAACUACGUGCCAGCAGCCGCGGUAAUACGUAGGUGGCAAGCGUUAUCCGGAAUUAUG